CAAAAGAAACACCCCCUCGACCUCGAAGCCAAUCGCACACUCCGCGAGUGACUGUAUCGGGAGGGAGGAGAAAGAGGUGGAUCUGUCGUGAGUCGUUUCUCACUCUCUCUCUCUCUCUCUCUCACGCACACACUAGAAAACAGAGCGUCUUUUUACAGCUGUGGACAAGAAAUAGAUAGAUCAGGGGGAGGGAGAGAAGGGAGGGAAGGAAGACGAUGGAGACGAGCGCUCCGACAAGGAAGCCGCGGGCCUCGACGGAUGAUCCGCUGACUUGAUCGGAGGCGCCUGCUUCCCGCUGACCGCACCAGGACAUUUGCAGUUGUCGGAUGAGGUCCACGAGGUGCUGCUCGGGGGGGCAGGUCACCGAGGAGGCGGCCGAGAGCGUCCUGAAGAGAUGAGAUCUGGUUGUGUCCAGUCUUGACUCCUUUUUGAUGCAGAAUCCUGUGAAACUAAAAGGCGUUUUCCUCGGCGAUUCUUCGACAUUCUGCUCUAAUUUUUGCUAUAUCCUAUAUAUUUGUACUAAAAACUUCUGGAGAUUUCUGCUCAACGAGACUUUUGACAUGUAUGGUUUCAAUCGACUCAAAAGAUGGAGUACAUUGCUUCACAAUUCGCUUCAGUUUUCAUAUGUGUAAUCUGUAGUUUCGUGGACUUGAGAUGCUUAAGGAAUGAUAUAUCUUAGUCAGAAUUUUGCCCAAGUAUGGGGCAAUUGCCUUUCCAUUUCUACAAUCCGGCAAAUGUUGUUGCAGGGAUUUUCUUUUAAUUAAGUUGUUCUAGGCGGUGCCUCAUUUUGGAUGACAUAUAAUGCAUUAAGUUUCAUGUCGGAAUAA